CGCCGCAAGGAUGGCUGCCCCUAUCAGGUUUACGGGGUGCCAAGACCCUGCUAGCCAUCAACGCGUACGGGUGUUGGGAGACAUUGCCCGGAGAUGGAUUCUGAGACACGAAUCCAGACCCUACGGGGUGCAGCAGGCGCGGAAACUUGGCAAUGCGAGAAAUCGUGACCAGGGAACUCCAAGUGCGUAGGGUAAGACCUACGCUGUUCUUGACUCUUCAAAGGUCUUGGAAUAAGGGUUGGGUAAGGACGGUGCCAGCCGCCGCGGUAAUACCGGCGCCUCAAGUGGUAGUCGCUUUUAUUGGGCCUUAAACGUCCGUAGCCGGUCUGGUGCAUUCGUGGGUAAAUCAACCCGCUCAACGGGUUGAAUUCUGCGAGCACGGCCAGACUUGGGACCGGGAGAGGUGUGGGGUACUCUCAGGGUAGGGUUAAAAUCCUGUCAUCCUGAGAGGACCACCUGUUGCGAAGGCGCCACACUAGAACGGAUCCGACGGUCAGGGACGAAACCUAGGGGCACGAACCGGAUUAGAUACCCGGGUAGUUCUAGGUGUAAACGCUGUGGACUUGAUGUUGGGGGCGCUCCGAGCGCUCUCAGUGUCGAAGCGAAGGUGAUAAGUCCACUGCCUGGGGAGUACGGUCGCAAGGCUGAAACUCAAAGGAAUGACGG
rnacentral:rRNA from 1 species